CCUACGGGGGGCAGCAGUGAGGAAUAUUGGUCAAUGGACGAGAGUCUGAACCAGCCAAGUAGCGUGAAGGAUGACUGCCCUAUGGGUUGUAAACUUCUUUUAUAUGGGAAUAAAACAGGGUAUGCAUACCCUCUUGUAUGUACCAUAUGAAUAAGGAUCGGCUAACUCCGUGUCAGCAGCCGCGGUAAUACGGAGGAUCCGAGCGUUAUCCGGAUUUAUUGGGUUUAAAGGGAGCGUAGGUGGAUUGUUAAGUCAGUUGUGAAAGUUUGCGGCUCAACCGUAAAAUUGCAGUUGAAACUGGCAGUCGUGAGUACAGUAGAGGUGGGCGGAAUGCGCGGUGUAGCGGUGAAAUGCUUAGAUAUCACGAAGAACUCCGAUUGCGAAGGCAGCUCACUGGACUGCAACUGACGCUGAGGCUCGAAAGUGUGGGUAUCAAACAGGAUUAGAUACCCGGGUAGUC
rnacentral:rRNA from 1 species